AUGACGAAACGGAAAAAUCCGCACAUAUGUCGUCACAUUACUCUGGGUGCUCAAAAAAAGAGUGGAGAAUGCGGACAUAUGGAGGCCUAAC
rnacentral:sRNA from 1 species